rnacentral:lncRNA from 1 species
GCAUUUCGAAUGUCGGACUGAUGGGCGAGGUAGCUGCCCUAAGUAUAAAGGUAUGUGCAAAACUUUGGUUUUUUUAUUUCUUAGCAUGUCUUCUCGUGUUAACUGUCACUCUGUUCGUUGUAGACAUUUUUUCUGGAGGUGGAGAGCAUUAGGCGGGCUAAUGUCCGUGCGGCAAUUUUUGCGUGGCUUUUGGGGAAGUACCACCGCUACCGUGACCAGUGUCGUGGCUUGCGUGAGCGCAUAA